AACGAACGCUUGCGGCGCGCCUAAUACAUGCAAGUCGAACGAGGUAGCAAUACCAAGUGGCGCACGGGUGAGUAACACGUGGAUAAUGUGCCAUUCAGUGGGGAAUAACUGACCGAAAGGUUAGCUAAUACCGCAUGAGACCACAGUCCCUGAGGGGACCGAGGUUAAAGAUUUAUCGCUGAAUGAUCAGUCUGCGUAAGAUUAGCUAGUUGGUGAGGUAAGGCUCACCAAGGCAACGAUCUUUAAGUGGUCUGAGAGGAUGACCACUCACACUGGAACUGAGACACGGUCCAGACUCCUACGGGAGGCAGCAGUAGGGAAUAUUGCACAAGUGGGGGAAACCCUGAUGCAGCGACGCCGCGUGAGUGAUGAAGGCC
rnacentral:rRNA from 1 species